CGGCAGGUGGGCGGACACAGAAAGGCGACGCCGAGAGCCGGGUUGUCCCGGAAAUGCCUUCCCUCCUCCCGGGUCUGCGUGGACGCGGACUCCUUACCUCAUUUGUCGUCGCCCCUCCCCGUCUCUCUACGCGUUUUGGUUCCCGGCUGGUGCUUCCUGUUUGCAACCGCGGCAGUGAGUAUGUCUGUGACGGACCCCGAACCACCCGCGGCCUGGGACGCCUGCCUACCCUACGUCUCUCCCGCCGGGCUGUGGAACUAGCGCGUGCCCCCUCGCCAGCCUCGACGUCUCCCGUCCGCCCCUCACUCGUGGCAGGGCGCAGCUCCUGGUUCCUCAGUUGCGCGCCUACCCACGCUGCCGGGCUGCGGGUCUGGGGGUCCGCGUCUCCCUGGCCCUCCAAGGGCUAAGGCCGUGAUUCUGGAGCGGCUGGGCGUCCGGGGCCUCGGUGGGGGUGGCGUGUCUGCCGUUUUUACUUCCCCGCAAGACACCCAGUCUUGUAGGGAAGCCAGUCAGUGAAGCGCAGAGAUCUCGACGCGCCGAGAGGGAAUCCAGUCUUUGAGGACCGAGUAGUCCCGGGCCACCUCCCGCCUCUGCUGUCAGAAGCAGCAGCUGCAGCCGUGGAAUCCAAGAUUUCGGGAGCUGUGUCCCUUUCCUCAUGUAAAACAAGUAGACUUGGACUGUGUUUACUAAGGCGCCCUUUAUCCCUCCCAUCCUGUGAGCGGACAGUUGCCUUCAACUUUCGGGAAGAGCUGCCGGUUCGGUGGAAAAGCUGUGGCUGGGAAUCAGGAGGCCUGUGUUCUAGCCGUGGCUCCCCCACGAACUCGCUGGCGACUCCCAAAAGCUCAUAUUGAGGCUGGAUUUAAGAUUAUUUCAGAUUACACUAUUGAAUUAGGGGCUCCAUUAGGGCCUUUUUCGCUCAGUAAGUUUAUCUGAGCCCGUUUCUCCAACUAUAAAACGAGAGCGUUCAGUUUGAUGACUUUUCAGGUCCCCUCAGAAGCUCUUGACUUUGUGGUUUUCUUUUUCUUUUUAAACUUUUAUCUAAGACCGUUAGAGAAGUGACUUCGUGUUUUGAAUAGUUAGGCUGUCACAUACAAAGACUUUUAAAUGGAUUGUGUGUAUAUUUAGGAAAGCAUUAUGCUUUGGAGACAGUUUAGCAUUGCUGCUUUCAAGGGAAUCUGAAGAUGAGGAAUAAACUCAGGAAGGAUCGCAAGUGAUGAUUAUAGUAGUAUGUUAGGUAUCAGGGUAAGAGACUGCAUGACCGAAGGAAAAGGGCUAAGGGAAAGGUGAAGGAAAUGUUUCCGGAUAGGAUUAAUUCUCAUGAAAAUCAUGUCUAUAUCCCAAGAAGAGCUGGGACUUACGUGACUAAAUUUAGCUUAUUUUUUUCCCACCGAAAUACUGUGUUCUGUCUUUUGUGACCUUUGUUUUACACAUUUGGAUUCUCCACCCCAAUCUCAGAUUUGAUUCAGAGUGGCCGUCGCAUUUGAAAAAUGGACAUUUUAACCCCUUAGUCAGUUGUGUUUCACCUGUCACUAUGAGGACAGCUUAUUAAGAGUAAGAAAGAAAUUUUACGUUGAAAGUAUAUUCAUCACAUUCCAAUGACAUUUGGACUGAAAAUGAGGCUGUGGUUUUGAUUUAAAUCGGCCUGAAAGGAAUGCCUAUGUCAUCAAGAAGGAACAUCUAGGGAGGCUAAAGGUGCUUUGGAAGUAAGCAAAAGGCUAGAGUGCAGUGGUGUGAUCAUAGCUUACUGUCAACUUUGAACACUUGGGUUCAAGCUAUCCUCCCUCAGCCUCCCAAGGUGGGAGGUACAGGUGAGUACUCAUCCACCUCUGACAUUGGCCCUGUGUUCUCAUUCAACCAAUUCUGUUGGUACUGCCUGUUGACUACCAGAUUUGCUUACCCAGGAGUUAGACAGCAAGCAUGGGGAAUGCCUGGCACACAGAAUAUAUGGAAUUAGUGUUAGGAUUUUAGUAACUUCACAGUUGGAAAGAGGAAAAUAUGAAGAGCUAUUCGCAUAGGGUAGAUUAUAGGAGAGAAUGCAAAUUUUGAAAGCUACAUCAUCAAGGAUUAAAAUUUUGCUGCUAGCUUUGUCUCUAUGAUAAUGUGGUCAUGUAGCUUAAUGCUUAUUCCUUCAAAAAGUUCAUUCUUUUCAUUUUCCUCCCUUUGUGCCUAAUGCUCAGUCUCUUGCACUAGUUUCUGAAGUGGUCUUCUUUUAUAUCUGCCCUAUAUGCUGUUGUUAAAACUGGUAUUAAAAUGCUCUUUUAUUCAUGGUACCUUAUUGCUCCAAAAUUUUUAAUGGCAUCCUGCUUCCCCAGGAAACGAUGGCAUUGAAUGUAGAUCAUACUUGGAGCCCCUGGGAUUGGCAAAUUUUUUUUUUAAGAAACCAGAUAGAAAAUAUUUUAGGUUUUUAAGUCAUAUGAUAUCUUAACUACUCAACUCUGCCCUUGUGGGAAAGUAGCCUUCGAUAAUACCUAUAGAAAUGGGGGUGGCUGUUCUCAAUAAAACCCUACUUACAAAAACAGGUGGCUGGCUCAGACUGUAGUUUGCUAACCCUGAGAACUUGACAGCAAAAAGAAGAGAUAAAUAGUAGUUAGAACAUAUAGCAGAUCAAAUAAUUUUUUUUCCAUAUAGGUAAGAUCUAAUAAUGUUUUUAGGUAGAAAGGAAGAAACUUGUGACUAAACCUGUUUGAUGUUUUUGGUGGGGGGCCAGGUUAGAGAGAGGAUCAGGUAUACAUGUUGUUGAAUUAUUUCUCAAAGGGAAGAGAGACAACAGUAAUUGCAAAAUCAUCAAAUAUUUAUAGAGGUAUAGAGGUAGAGGAGAAAGAAUAAAUUCAGAUGCACUGAGGUAGAUGAGAGUACCUAUGAGGAUUUGUUUGAUUUCCUUAGGAAAAUGAAAGCAGAAGUAGGAGAGGGCAGAGGAUAAUUGGAAGCUUAGAAUGGGGAAAGGAUGUUUUAGUACUGUGGAGAAUAUUUUCAGGCAGUGGUUACCAGUAUUUUGAAGAUGACACCUUGUUUAACCUCGAAACAAUUUGUGGACCACCCCAUCAUUGUAGUUACAUUUUUAGUAUUCAUCAAUGGAGAAUAUGCAUAUUAAAAAAAAGCUACUACUCAGUUCUCUCUUAGAUGACUUUGUAUUUUGUUAACCACAACAUUGACUGCACAUUUGAAAAAUGUUAAUACAUGUAUGUGAGAGAUAGUCUUUAUGUAAUGCAUUGCCCUGGGUACCCAACAAGAUAACUAAUUUAACAGCUUCCCAGGAGGCUGAAAGCUCGUAAGUUAGAAAUCAUUGCAUUCUAAUGAAUCAACAAUAAGAGAAUAAAGGAUUGCUUAGAAGUAGUAUUCUGUCAAAAUUAAAAUGAACUUAUAAUGAACACUUUGAAGGAUUCUAUAACUUUUUAUCCAGUAGUACUUGGCAGCUUUGAGCAAGAUGACAGAAGCAAAAUGAUCUAGGGUUAGGCAUAACAUUAUAUAGAAGGUCAGAAUAAACAUUUAGCUUAUUCUUUCUUUAAAUUACCUUUUCCUGAGAUCACACCCUGUUUCAUUAAUCACUUCUCUAUGGUGAUCAAAUUGGCAUCUCCUUUUCUUAACCAUUUUGUUGAUUUCAUGUUCCCCUUUUACACCUUACUGAAUAUUUUCAUUUGGGUAUCUUACUAUUUCACAUUUAACCUACUGAAAAGAAAGCUUCUUAUCGUUCCUUUGAAAGGAGCUCUCUGCUGAUUUCUGCUUGGAGUAGAGAAUCUACAGAGAUGCUGAAGUUGAUGGGAGACUGUGGAUAGAUUGGGAAAAAUAUGAAUUAGGUGUGGGAUUCAUUGAAGAAGUUGAACAAUGUCAUGACUGGUAAAUGAUGGUGAUGAGAAAGUAGAGAAAACCUACUGUUUGCUCCUACCAUUUGUUUUUUUAAUUUUAGCCAAAUAAAAUCAAAUUUUGCAUUUUUGAAAAUUAACUUGACUUUUGUACACUCUUACAAAUAUUCAAAUACAUGUUCUCUAUUUUAUUUCCUUAAUCCAAUAAUGUUGUAAUCCUAUUUCUUUCUAAUUAAUAAGCAAUAUAUUCAGUACCGAUGCCCAUUUAAGUGUGCUGUUACUCUCUAAUCAUUAUUAUUCCUUUCACAAGUAGAUCUGGGCAUAGGAACCAAUCAGAAACAAUCGCUUCAGCAACCAAGACCAUUGUUCACCAUGGAGGAACCCAUGGAUACGUAUCCUCUGAGCCUCUAUCUGCAAUACCAUUCACUGGGCAGCAGUCUUUUGAGCCAAGUGGCAAAUUUGGACAGUAUCCAUCUGAUGCAGAUGAACCACAUUCAGGCAUUGGGGAGGUGGAGGACACAGAACAGCUAAAUCAAUGUUUGAUCCAACACUUCCAUCUCAUUAAGACAAGUUUGACUUUUCUUUGGUUUUUAUUUCAUGGAAUACAUGAGAAUCUCUUAACUGUUGGAGUUUCCAAGGAGUCAUACCCUGUGACUUCAUUUGGUGGAAAGAACAAAACUAAAAUGCUGUAUGGCCAAAGCCACAAAGGGAAGGAUCUGCAAUUUACAUCCUUGCAGCUACUAUCUGUACUGUACUGUUGUGAUCUACUGAUUGGCAUUGGCAUAGUAGUAGGGGUCAAGUGACAGAAUCCGUGCCAACAGUUUCCAGGUUCAGAAGCAAUUCAAGACCCUAAUGGUAGCUCUCCAGCAACCAGCACGUGGUGAUUGUGCCAACUUGUUGCUCAGUUAUAAUGCAAGGCCAGUGAUUGAUUGGCUUAAGUCAAGACCCUGGCUGAGAUCAUUUGUCUUUGGUCUAAUAGAAUUUGAGUCUAGUAGAAUUCGAGUCUCCAGGGAAAGAGCUACUUGACCAAAUUAAACUAGUAGCAGGUAGAGCGCAAAUGACAGCAUAUUAUACCAUCAAGAUGUUCUUAGAGCAGUGUAUGGAUGGAUCUAUUGUACUGCCAUCAGUUGUGACUGAUACUGUUGUAUUCAAGGAGAAAGAGAAACUUCUUUAGAAAGCAUUUGAAAGUUUUUUGAGUAUGGGGGUGCCCUGUGUCACCCCAUUAUGGUUGAACUUUGUCCUUCAAAAUUACCAAACUUGGCAGCAGUGGCAAAUUAUUGGGCUAAAAGACUUAAUCAGACAUAUUCUGAGUUCAAGGCUCCUAAUAUAAUACCUGGUGCAGACGUUAUACUUCCACUCAUUCAGAUGGUUGCACCCCGCCAGGCAUCCAGUAGAACAGGGACUGGGAAUAUGGACACUUGAACAUUAAACAUUCUGAAGAAUUUUGGAAUGACAGGUUACAAGUGAACAUAAUCAGUUCCCCAUAUUUAAAAAAAAAAAAGAUUUGGGGAUAGAUUGGGCUCACAUACUAAUCUUUAGAGAGAUUUUUUCAUUUUUGUGAAAGUACAGAAAUUCUCAACUGCUUAUGACAUGCUGAUUGUUAGACAGCAUCCAUAGCUAUUUUAUGUUGUUUCCCUGACCCCACCCCCCCAAAAAAAAUUAUGGCACAUUGAAAACAGCAGUAUGAUGUAAGAGAAGAGAUCACAAACUCCUUGAGGGUGGGUCUUUUCCAUACUCAUAAACCUACUUAGGAUAUUCGGAGUAAUUUGUUGACACUUAUAUUAAUAUUUCCUCCUAUCCCAUUAAUUGCCAAAUCAUCAAACAUUUAUUGAGCAUCUACUCUGUGUAGGGUGUAAGCAGUACUGGGGACUUACAGUGAUAAAAGACAUAGUUUAGUUUUAGCUGUAAGUGAUGUACUGUUUCACUGAAGAGACAGAAUAUAAGAAGCCAAGUAAUUUAUGGAAUUCCCUUCUUUAUUUUUUAUUUUUUUCUUUUGGCAGUGGAGUCUUGCUUUUUAAAUAGAGCAAGGCUAGUCUGGAACUCCUGGGCUCAUGUGGUCCUCCCGCCUUAGCCUUCAGAGUAGCUGGGACUACAGGUGAGAACACAGCUUGGAAAUCCCUUAACCAUGGGAGUUAAGUCUCAAAAUUCUGGUGACACAAGUGGUUGAAACUUAAAACUUUAUUUAAAAAAUAGGAUUUGUGAAUUUUAGAUAGUUCAUAAGUCUACGAAAGACUGUAUAAAUACAUAUUUUACAUUUACUAUUAUUUGUAGUAAAUUUGAGUAUAGCAUUAUCUCUUUAUCUGUGGAAACUUCAAACUCUCCGCUAUUACUUUUAAUUUCAGUGAGACAUUAUUAAAUAUAAGUGGGCUUACACAUUUGUUUUGCUUAUCUGACAAAUAAUAUACAACUCGGAGGCGUUUUUUUCCUUUCUAUUCUUCCUCUAAAUGUUUAGCACUUCUCUGAUUUUGUGAUCUGAAGUUAUUGGUUAGCUUCCUUAGGCUCCAUUGAGACUAUAUAUACGUGACACUUAACAGUCUAGCCUUCCUUGGUACAUAUAGAUAUAUGAUGGUGGCUUUGCCUGUAGUAAAUUCAUGCCAAAACAUAGACUUUCAGUGCCUGUUACAUAUGACUUUCAGCUCUUUCUACUGAGGGAUGUAGGAGUUUAUUUCUAAGGUCUGAGCGUCUUUUCGUGUACUUCCUUUACUCUUUCCUCAGCCUUCUUUAUAAAAACUAUGGAUGUUCUAUCAUUUGUUUUCCUUUUUGAUUCCCUUUUAUUAUCCCCAGUAGCAGUGACUUGUAAUUCUCGUAUGUUAGAAAGGCAGAUCUCCUGAUUGAAGAAAAGAUCCACCCAAGGAAGUCAGCAUGUUUAAUAAUUUUUGAGGGGGAUCUCAAAUUUGGGAAGGAUUGUUAUAUAAGACAACCAAAUGAUGACAUGAGACAAUAAAUGCUAUAGGAAUUAUGGAGGAAAAAUCAGCUACUUAUUUUAUUGGUUAAGGAAGAGAUAUUAUUAGUUGUAGAAGUAAUUACUAUUCUACAUUUUUUAUUGUGGAAAUCAAAAAUAUAUAUACGAAAAUAAAAUGUUAUAUAAUUGACUUCAGUGUCCCAUAAGCCAGCUUCAGCAGUUACUAAAUUCUGACCAAUCUUUAAACACAUGCACACGUGUCCCUCAGUAUCUGUGAGGCAUUGGUUCUAGGACCACUCAUGGCUACCAGCGUCUAUGGAUGCUCAAGUCCCUGAUACAAAAUGGUGGAAUAUUUGCAUAUAACCUGUGUACAUCCCGUAUUAUUUAAAUCAUCUCUAGAUCACUUGUAAUACGUAAAACAAUGUAAAUGCCACGUAAAUAACUGUAUUAUUUAAGGAAUAAUGACAAGAAAAAUGUUCACGUUCAGUAUGGCUGCAAUUUUUUUUGUGUGUGAAAUAUUUUCAUUUCAAGGUCAGUUAAACCCAUUGACAUAGAAGGCUGACUGCGUGUGUAUGUAUAUGUGAAUACACACACAUACACAUACACACACACAUACAUAUAUUUCUGAAAGGUAAAUAUUCUUUUUUUUAAAAAAAUAUUAUUAUCACAGCUAAACAAAUUACCAAUAAUUCUUUUAUCCUCAUAUACCCAGUGUUCAGAUUUUCUAGAUUGGCUCCUACUUUUUUUUACAGAUUAUUUGAAUCUGAAUCAGUUCAUAUACUGUAAUGUUUGAUAACUUAAGUGUCCUUUAAUCUAUAGGUUCUCUUUUAUCUCUUCUUUAUUAAAUUCCUUGUAAUUUAUUGUACUAAAUAGAUUGUCUUCUAGAAUUUCCUGUAGUCUGAAUUAUGUAGUAUUGUUUGACAUGUUCCAGUGUCCUCUUAUUUUCUGAGUUGGUAGUUAGAUCUAGAAGCUUGAUUAAAUUCAGAUUUUCUUUCUGUUAGAUCGUCAACUUGAUAGACAGUUUCAUUUGUUUCAUUUUGCUUUUGAUACAUUGUUUUUUAGAAUUACCUCCUAAAAUUUUGAUUUAAUUUUAUAAUCAUGUAAAAUGCUUAUAAAGUUCCAAAUUCAGAUUACCAAAACACAAUAAAAUCUAUUCAGAGAAGGCAAA